rnacentral:tRNA from 1 species
AGAAACUUAGGUUAGUUAAGACCAAGAGCCUUCAAAGCCCUAAGUAGAAGUUAAAAUCUUCUAGUUUCUG